rnacentral:rRNA from 1 species
CCUACGGGUGGCAGCAGUAGGGGAUAUUGCUCAAUGGGGGAAACCCUGAUGCAGCAACGCCGCGUGGGUGAUGAAGUUUUUAGGAUUGUAAACUCCUAUUAGGAGGGAAGAUAAUGACGGUAUCUGACGAAUAAGCACCGGCUAACUACGUGCCAGCAGCCGCGGUAAUACGGAGGGUGCAAGCGUUACUCGGAAUAACUGGGCGUAAAGAGUGCGCAGUCGGGUUUGUAAGUCAGAUGUGAAAUCCUGUAGCUCAACUACAGGACUGCAUUUGAAACUGUGAGUCUAGAGUGUAGGAGGGGCAGGUGGAAUUCCUGGUGUAGGGGUGAAAUCCGUAGAUAUCAAGAGGAAUAC